CCGACCUCUUUUCUGAUCAUCUACUGCUCUCCUCUUUGUUUACUCUCUUCUUCCCCACUCACAAUCUCUCUCCAUCCCCCAAAAUCUCUCCAUCUUCCUUCUCUUUCAUUUUUCUAGGCUCUUCCCCCUCUUAUACUAUGGCAAAGUCCAACUAUCCAGACUAACUUUCUUUCUCACCCUAUAUAGAUCCACACAUUUUGCAAACCAUCUUUCUCUCUCUUACCACAAACCAUUUGUUUCUCAACAAUCACCGCUCAUGGAGGACUGAAGACCCUUUUUGCUGAAAGGCUGCUACAUAGGGCAUUAAAACUUACUUCGCAAGUUGCUCUAGUGGGAGAAAAGAGGAGCUCUUUUUUGGUUAUGGAUGUGAAACCUGGCAACUCCUCAAUGAAGCAUACGAUGAAUGUAGCAAGGUUUGAGCAGAGUAUGCCAUGACUUCUUUUUUUUUUGUGAACGAUAGAGUAUGCCAAGACUUUUCACCUAGGUAUUUGCUUUCUCUCUCUCGAAUUGCUCUCUCUCCUAUUGGAGGGAGGCUUGGGGGUGAAGGAAGUUGGAAUGGGUACUCUCUACUCUUUCUAUCCAAAAAUUUCAGUGGGUACUGUAAAUGGGACAGGCUUUUUUAAUGUUUCCCUCUUUAUAAAUUAACAUUUCUCUCUAAACUAAAUUCUGUAGCAUUAUUUAUACUCUCCCUAAAGGAAAAAAGAUUUAUUAGCUAAUUCUCUAUUUUCGAACCUGUAAUUAGCUACAGUACUCCUCUCUUCCUCUCUCUACUUCUCUUUCUCUCUCUUCUGUUUACAGUAAUGUGACAAGUUUAAGAUAGAGGUGGACAGUCAAACAUGCUCAAAAAUAUGCAUAUUCAGAAUAAUUUAUAGUUCAUAUAUAUGGAAAACUGGUUAUGGCUAUACUCAUAUUUCUAAAAAUAUGAAUAUCCAGAUUUUGUUUUGUCAAACAAAGCCUUAAAGUGUUAAACGAAAAGAAAAGAAUCUUGUUUCCCUUUUUUUUGCACCAUUUUUAUUUAAAUGAGAGAUAGCAGAUAGAGAAGCUCAUUGUGAAGGAAAUGCUAUGGGAUAUGUUACAGGGAGUGCAAACUCUAUGGAAAUGAUAAGCUGGUAAGAAUGUUGGCCAUAGCCCUCCAAAAAUAGUCUUAUCAUGGCAGUUCACUGUAGCGUGGUGUGUGGAUUACCAGUCCAUGCCCAAAAUAAUAUCGAAGUCUAGGGUGUCCAAGAGUAUCAAAUCUAUAGGUAAAAUGCGUCCCUAAGGCACAACCCCACAAUAUUUAUACACUAUCAGUUUCUAUAGAUUCUCUCAUGGGUGUGCAUACUACCAAAGUCCAAUCAAGUUGUGCAGGAUUAGCAUUCAGGUGGCAUGCAAAGUGUGGUGCAACAAAGAAUGGGAAGAUUCGGGAUCAAUUAAACUUCUUGCAUCAAUUCCCCAAACAAAAAACGUACCUCGACUAACAGAGGUCGAUGCCUUAGCCUCUUGUUCCGUCAGAGCAAAAACCCGACCUUAAGUCCUUUGUCGGUCCUCUGGUCCUAUGACUGAACAGUCUUUCACAAGAUGGCAUGGCUUGCCACGUCGAAAAUGGGCACAGAUUACUCAUACCACAAUGAAGGCAGACUGGGCGCCGAUUGCUUCUUACAUCACCUUGAAAAGUCCUCUGAAUCUUGACACUGCCCUAAUCAUUCCUACCCUUAAAUUCUCUUCUUGGAGGUGGUUGGGCUUUCCUCUUAAAAUUCCUUGGCUGCACAGCCCCCAUUCUCCCUUCUUCCUCAAGCGAAAGGUUUCACAAUCUCUUUCUAUUUUUAGGGUAAGAUCCACCAAUGGGGAGAAGGUCUUAAGGUUUGCCGAAAUUAUCCCUCCUCGUAUAUCGAGUCGCAAGCCCCUCUCAAAUUACUUGCUUUUCAUGCCUCAGUAUCGAUAAUAUGCGACACGAAUCUUGAUAGCUCAGCAAACUUUGCCACGUACUGCUCUACGGACAUCCUUCCUUGUUGCAGCUCUAUAAACUCCACUUCUUUUCUUUCCCUCACCGAGUCUAGAAAAUAGUUCUCAUAAAAUGUUUCCAAGAAUUCUCCCAAGUGGCUACAGUUCCUGACCUCUCCCAUGACUACUUUACUGAGCUCCACCAAUGCUCAGCUUCUCCUUCAAGCAUGAAAGUGCCCAGUCUCAUUUUCUGUUCAUCUGUACAGUUUAAGACUUCAAAUAUCUUCUCCACCUGUCUUCUUCAUCUCUCUGCUUUUUCCACUCCCCCAUGCCCCACGAAAGUCGAAGGUGCCAGCCUCUUGAAUCUCUCUAUCAAACCACUGUCACUUUGAUCGGGGGCAGGGGUAGACAGGGCCGACAUCGAUUCCCUCAUCAAUUGUGUCAUGACCCCUAGAGUUCUGUAGAAUUCAUUGAGUGGCUCGGUCUUCUCGUUGUUGGAACUCGCAUUGUUAGCACGAGUCGGCAUCUUUGAGCUAAAAAACAAGCACCCAGUUACUAGCAUAUCAAAGAACUAUCCUAUUCUAAAACUUUCUAGGCCAAGAAUCUUAUCCAGGCUGCUUUGAUACCAUACACUAUCACGACCCUACCCCCUGACCCCAUACCGUACGAGCCGACGAUGACAAAAUACGGGACCGCGACGAGAGGUGACGAACGCCACUCAGGUGAGAGUGGCUCAACGCAUAUAAUAGGGGGAAUCAAGAGCAAACCAUGAUAUAAACUAAAAUCCAUGCAUCAAACAGAUAUUAAUCCAAAAGCAGAAUCAUUUCCAUUAAUAAUCAUUCUCCAAAAUCCUUUUACAAGCAUUUUAAGGCACUAACGGCCCACAAGGUACAAGGUAAACAACAAACAGUGGCGCAGCCACCCAAACACCUACUAUAGCAAGCUCCAGAAAGAUCUCUUCUUCAACUUCAAGCUUUAAGCAGCCCCGAACUGCUGCCCUCUCAAUUGGGCCAGAAACUUUCACUCUAUAAGUGUCAUGACCCCGCCCCCUGACCCCUACCGUCCCAAAUCAGAGGGCGGCAGAGUGCAGGACCUUGACCAGAGGUUGCAAAUGUCACUCAAGUGGGAGUGGCUCAACGUGUGUCAAAAGCAUGGAAUCAAAGCAAGCCACGAGAAUUAAAAUUAAACUUAUACAUCAAGUACUAGAAACUGCACAAAUUAAGACCAUUAAUUAUACAUUCCAUCUCCAAAAUUCUUUACGAUAUUGUUCUAGGCCUACAAGCCUGAUAUUUCAUUACAUCAAACAAAAUACACAUGGCCACGCCACCAAACACCUACUAGGCCAAAAAGAAAUCCUGAACAGGUAUGAACUCCAAGUGCCUGCUAUCACCAAUCUGCUAUUCGCCUCUCGCAGUCAAGCACUAUCACUCUACACAAAGGAAGAAAGAGGAGUGAGAUAUAAGCCCAGUAAGUAGAUCACUACUUUUGUAUUCUACCUACAAUCAUAUAAAUAAUAACAUGGUCUACAGUUCAUCAAAGAUCGUACUGGCAUCAAAAAGUAAAGUCAUGCAUCAUAAUAUGUACACUAACAGUAUAAAAUGAGUAUUGUUCAGAUGUCAGAGCAUCAAAUAUUUCUUUAAAUGACAGUUACAUCGAUGUUUAUAACAGUCUCUGUCAGACCAUCAUAUAGAAUACUUAAUUCAGAUAGGCAGAAACAUAAUUUACUCCCCGAAGUAAAAAUCGCAUCGAUCAAGCUAAGUCAAUUUUAUAACUUGGAACUUCUACCCUCAUUUGGGAGGGAGGACAAUGACAAAUAGAGGUCUCAUUUCGUAAUGUCUUCACUCAUGCACACGAUCCCCACGCGCUUUGGGGUUUUCGAUAGGCUAUGGCCUUGCAAAACACGACCCUCUCCUUAUGCCUUUAGGCGAGAGGGCGUUACAUUACCAUUGGAGGACCCAAUGCGUAGUGCUCAUGACAAUUUGGGGGGCAUGACCCUCGCUGUUAUUCACAGUCACCUCUCGGCUCCACUCCUAUCAUAGAAGUCGAGGUACAGUAUACUCGACUACCAAUGUGGGACCCAUUGCGUAGUGGUCAUAUCACAAAUAUCAGUUUCUAGUAUAGCAGAUUCACAAAUCCGACUACCAAUGGAGGAUCCAUUGCGUAGCGGUCACAUAAUCAGAAAAUCUACUACCAAUACAGGACCAGUUGCGUAGUGUUCAUGGCACAUAUAACAGAAUCAGAAUAUCCGCUAUCAAUGGAGGACCCAUUGCGUAGUGUUCAUGGCACAUAUUACAGAAUUCAAAUAAUAGAAUCAGAAUAUCCAAUACCAAUGGAAGACCCAUUGCGUAGUGUUCAUGACACAUAUAACAAAAUUCAUACGACAGAAUUAGGAUAUCUGCUACCAAUAGAGGGCCCAUUGCAUAGUAUUCAUGGCACAUAUAACAGAACUCAUAUAAUAUAAUCAGAAUAUCCACUACCAAUGGAGGACCUAUUGCGUAAUGUUCAUGGCACAUAUAACAAAAUUCAUAUAACAGAAUCAAAAUAUCCACUACCAAUGGACGACCCAUUGCGUAGUGUUCAUGGCACAUAUAACAGAAUUGUUGCACUGUAUACAUGCAUAUUCGAGCAUUCUUUCGUUUAUGCAUUACUAUUUUCAAGAUUUCAGGGAUACUCAAGUAUCAUGUAUUUUUAGUGAACAUAUCAAGCUAUAUUCAAAGUUUCAGUGCAUGACGUGUACAAAAUUUCAUAGCAGUUUGAAAGUCAUUAUUAUUCACAUCGAAAUGCACAUAUGCAAGAUUAGGCAUAGCACUCCAUUUCAGAGGGAUUUCUCUACAAUUUCAUUAUAGUAGAGUCACAGUCUCCUUAUCAUAGUAUAACAUUUUCUGCAAUUUAUGCCACGGACAUCGGAUCAUAAACGUGGUCAUAAUGUCUGAACCCCUCGGAAUUUGAAAACGGUUCCAAAACAAACUUUUUACUAGACACACGCAUCUUUCAAAUGGAAGUAGUUUAAAACCAUUUGGAUCUCGUUUGGCCCUUCAAAAGCUCAAGAGAAUGCAAUCAUUCUAUCUGAAACCUGUUGUGCAUUAGAAGCAUUGACAUUCCUUCACAAAUAAUUGCAUGACUCCCAAUCUAUGAAGAAUUUCAAAAUGUGUUCAACAUAUGAUUACAAGCACACUCAUGGAUCUUUCAAAUGACAGUGGUUUGGAAGAAAAUGGAGUCCAUUUGCUCAUUCAAAAUUCUUGACAACAGAGACAUCAGUUCUAAGUUUUUUAUGAAAUCUGUCAAUAAUAACCUACUUGCACAUUUUGAAGCGUAGCUCUCCAUUUAUAAAGAAUUGGAGCAAGGUUUAAACAUAAACAUUGACCCAUGUAUCUUUCAAAUGGUGGUGACUUGAACACAUUUGGAUGCCAUUUGAUAGGUCAAAAGUAGAUUACAAAAACAUAGAUUCGUCUUGGAAAUUACAGCACAAUCACAGUAUCACUUAUCAUAAUAAUCAAUUAGCUCUUAACUCAUGCCAAAUCUUGUCAUAAACCUUUCUCAAUUUUCAAUAGAUACAUAAAAACAUAUAAUCACAGACUUUCCAUGAAAAACAAGGAACAUUUGAUACCCAUGUUGGUCAUGCAAAGGCAAGAUGUGUUGAUAGAACUCACAGCAUAACAGUGUACGUAGGCAUCCAUUACUUAUACUACUAAUCAUGCUUAUUAUCAUGCUUGAUUCAUGUUCAAUUCAUGCUUAAGGACCUACAAGGUAGUUGAUCCACUUAUCUUGUGUGUAUAAUGGUGUUCCCAGAUUUCCUCCCAGAAC
rnacentral:lncRNA from 1 species